UAUUGGACAAUGGGGGGAACCCUGAUCCAGCAAUACCGCGUGUGUGAAGAAGGCCUGAGGGUUGUAAAGCACUUUCAGUGGGGAGGAGGUUUGUCAGGUUAAGAGCCAGACAAAUGGACGUUACCCACAGAAGAAGCACCGGCUAACUCCGUGCCAGCAGCCGCGGUAAUACGGAGGGUGCGAGCGUUAAUCGGAAUUACUGGGCGUAAAGAGUGCGUAGGUGGUUAAUUAAGUUAUCUGUGAAAUCCCUGGGCUCAACCUGGGCAGGUCAGAUAAUACUGGUUAACUCGAGUAUGGGAGAGGGUAGUGGAAUUUCCGGUGUAGCGGUGAAAUGCGUAGAGAUCGGAAGGAACACCAGUGGCGAAGGCGGCUACCUGGCCUAAUACUGACACUGAGGCACGAAAGCGUGGGGAGCAAACAGG
rnacentral:rRNA from 1 species